rnacentral:rRNA from 1 species
UACGUAGGGCGCAAGCGUUGUCCGGAAUUAUUGGGCGUAAAGAGCUCGUAGGCGGUCUGUUGCGUCCGCUGUGAAAACCCGGGGCUUAACCCUGGGCUGGCAGUGGAUACGGACAGACUGGAGGUAGGUAGGGGAGAAUGGAAUUCCCGGUGUAGCGGUGAAAUGCGCAGAUAUCGGGAGGAACACCGGUGGCGAAGGCGGGUCUCUGGGCCGAUACUGACGCUGAGGAGCGAAAGCGUGGGGAGCGAACAGG